GAGAUAAUAUUUUAAGGCUCAUUUUACCUGUGCUGCAAAGUGUUCAUUGGAGAAAAAAGUGAAAGGGAUGAGUGUUUGGUUGACCUUCAGCGUAUCUGAAAAGACACGCAAGAGAAAAGAUCCUCUCUGCUUAGCUGCCAUAUGCCCCAUGUCCAUGGCGGUGCCGCAAAAUGCAAAAUGCAAAAUGUAUGCAAUAUAGACAAGCAGCAGUACCAGCAUCUCACUGACCUUGACCCAACAAUUUCACUAACUAAUAAUAACCCUCGCCUCUAUUCUCUUCCUUCCUAUAAUAAUCCAAAAUUCAUACAGUACCAUAACAUUUCUCUUUAUCAUCAACAGGAUAUUUUUGGGGGCUUCUUCGUCUUUUUCUUCUGCUCUUUCAAAUGCGGCCUUCUAUCUUUAGAUUCUUCCGUUGCCAUCUCCGUCACAACUCCGCUAGCUUUUCAUCUGGAGCGUCAUUAGUAUCUGCAAGCAGCAGUGGUCAAAAAAUAACUGCUAGUCAUCUCAAUGGUUCCUCGUCAAAGAUGUAUUCUACUUCAUGCGAGUCCGAAGAGUCAUCCAAAGAUAGAGCUAUUUCUGACAUGUUGAUCGAUUCAUUCGGAAGGCUACACACAUAUUUGAGAAUAUCAUUGACUGAGCGCUGCAAUUUACGGUGCCACUACUGUAUGCCAGCUGAGGGUGUAGAACUCACUCCUAGUGCUCGACUUCUAUCUCAGGAUGAGAUUGUUCGCUUAGCAAGUUUGUUUGUUAGCUCUGGAGUGAAUAAAAUUCGUUUAACUGGUGGGGAACCAACUAUUCGGAAGGAUAUCGAAGAACUUUGCUUGCAACUAUCAAACUUGAAGGGGCUUAAAACCCUGGCGAUGACAACAAAUGGAAUCACUCUGGGAAAAAAACUUCCAAAGCUGAAAGAUGCUGGACUUAAUCUGGUGAACAUAAGCUUAGACACAUUGGUUCCAGCAAAAUUUGAGUUCAUGACUAGGCGCAAAGGGCAUGAGAGAGUAAUGGAGUCAAUUGAUGCUGCAGUAAAGCUGGGUUAUAAUCCCGUCAAAGUAAAUUGUGUUGUAAUGCGUGGAUUCAAUGAUGAUGAAAUUUGUGAUUUCGUUGAGUUGACACGCAAAAGGCCAAUUAAUGUCCGGUUUAUUGAGUUUAUGCCGUUUGAUGGGAAUGUCUGGAAUGUCAAGAAGCUAGUACCUUAUGCUGAACUGUUGGACAAAGUGGGUGAAAAAUUUACAGGGCUUCAGAGAAUUCAAGAUCAUCCCACAGAGACAGCUAAGAAUUUCAGGAUAGACGGGCAUCAAGGUUCCGUUUCAUUUAUUACAUCAAUGACUGAGCAUUUUUGUGCUGGUUGUAACAGACUGCGACUUUUAGCUGAUGGAAACUUCAAAGUUUGCCUUUUUGGUCCCUCAGAGGUGAGCUUGAGGGAUCCUAUUCGUCUUGGUGAGGGUGAUGAUAAACUCAGGGAGAUCAUCGGGGCAGCGGUCAAAAGGAAGAAAGCUUCUCAUGCUGGGAUGUUUGAUAUCGCCAAAACUCCAAAUAGACCAAUGAUACAUAUUGGUGGAUGAUGGAUGGAAUAUAUUGGGUUUCAAUGGUCAUAGUUGAAUUGGACAAUGAUGCGUGUAUAUGGACCAGGAAAAAGAGAGAUAGGAGAAGGUAAAAAGAAAAGAGGAAGGUGACCAAGCCAAUAAACCUCAAUUUGGAUUUUCGGAGCUGUAUAUGAGUGAGGGUGUUCGGCUUAAAUAAUAUUUAGGACCUGUAAAUUAUAGUGUGCGUCUCUUGUAUGCCAUGUUGAAAUAAGAAAUAUAUAUUUGUUUCAUAAUAUGUAUGUACCAUUCCUGAAUUGGCUGUUGUGAUGUUAUCCUUUUGACAUGUCUUAAUUGUGUAUCCAUUGCUCAUUCCCUUGCUA